rnacentral:rRNA from 1 species
UACGGAGGAUCCAAGCGUUAUCCGGAUUUAUUGGGUUUAAAGGGUGCGUAGGUGGGAAAGUAAGUCAGAGGUGAAAGCUAGCAGCUUAACUGUUAAAUUGCCUUUGAUACUGCUUUUCUUGAGUCUAGUUGGCGUUGGCGGAAUGUGACAUGUAGCGGUGAAAUGCGUAGAUAUGUCACAGAACACCGAUCGCGAAGGCAGCUAACGAAGCUAGUACUGACACUGAUGCACGAAAGCGUGGGGAGCGAACAGG